rnacentral:rRNA from 1 species
CCAUGCGUUGGGUGCGAUCAUACCAGAUCCCAUAGAAACUCCACAGUUAAGCGCGCUUGGGCUAGAGUAGUAUUGGGAUGGGUGACGUUUUCUUUAUAAAGACUGCGUUUUGUAUGCU